ACGAAGUGGACUCUACCCUUGGUAUCGUUACCCUAAACAGUCUAGUUUACCUACCUGUUGUACUUACCUGCUAUCUCCCUCUUCAGUUGUGUCAUCCAUCUCCAGCUCCAAUCACCCGCUGAGUUACAAAAGGAUAAAGAAGGAACAAACUAAGGUCGCCAUGCUACUUUGCUCUCGGCGUUCUGUGAACACAUUGUAACUUAAAUCAGCAGCAACAGGCAACGUCCUCAAAAAACCCCUCAGGGUUCAGACAACUACUUCAGUUUUCAGUGUUUUGAUAGGCAGUGGGGGAAAAAAUACAAAAGCAGGUCUGUUAAUUACCUAAUUUUCUUCAUCUCAGCGAAUACUGAUAUAUUUCCAAAUGAUCCAAUGCAUUGGCGAAGGAGAAACACCAGCCAAGCGCUGUGGAACAUCUGUUGAGUUAGUCUGCUUUGCCCCAGACAAGGGAAGCUGUCAUGAUGAGUUUGCAGUGAUGGAAAAGAGGAUGAACAGCAGUUAUGGGAAACUGGAAAUUCAAAUCAAAGAUGACACCAAGCACAUAUCGUGUCUCUGGUAGGGAGAUGAAACCCAGAGUGGAAGUUCAACAAGCUGUUAAACACAUGAGCCUAAACGUGUUGUCCAUCUCAUUCUCUUAUGCAAUUUUGCUUCUCAAGUAACCGGACCCAAGCAAACCAUAAAUGUGUUUGCACAUAUCAACAGUAGCAAUCAAUUCAAAAUGUAUUUCCUAAAUCUAUCAGAGUGACUGCAUGCUUCAUUUGGUUUCUGCACUUCCCGUCUGUCCAUGUGAUGUGUCUCUGUUCUACAAUGUUUCCAGUGAUGCUGACACAGAUGUUUUAUCGCUGUAGAGGGAAAAUCUGCCAGGGGAAACUAUUGCUUCAGUCUAAAUUUGUCUUUUGUGAUUGGAAAAUAAAUAUUUCAUCUGGCCUAUAAGCGUAUUGCCCCAUUUGCAAAAUGAUUUGAAACACGAAGCAGAGUCCCAGUGAGUUUCCUCACAAACACUAUUCAUUUUUCACUCAU